rnacentral:rRNA from 1 species
GGGCGUACGGGAGGCAGAGUGGGGAAUCUUCCGCAAUGGGCGAAAGCCUGACGGAGCAACGCCGCGUGAAUGAUGAAGGCCUUCGGGUUGUAAAAUUCUGUCUUCAGGGAAGAAAAAAAUGACGGUACCUGAGGAGGAAGCCCCGGCUAACUACGUGCCAGCAGCCGCGGUAAUACGUAGGGGGCGAGCGUUGUCCGGAAUUACUGGGCGUAAAGGGCGCGUAGGCGGUUUAUUAAGUCAGAGGUGAAAGCUCCCGGCUCAACCGGGGGACUGCCUUUGAAACUGGUAACUUGAGGGCAGGAGAGGGGAGUGGAAUCCCGGUGUACGGUGAAAUGCGUAGAUAUCGGGAGGAACACCAGUGGCGAAGGCGACUCUCUGGCCUGUUACUGACGCUGAGGCGCGAAAGCGUGGGGAUCAAACAGGAUUAGAUACCCGGUAGUCCACGCCGUAAACGAUGGGUGCUAGGUGUAGGGGUAUCGACCCCUCUGUGCCGAGUUAACACAAUAAGCACCCCGCCUGGGGAGUACGGCCGCAAGGUGAAACUCGAAGGAAUUGACGGGG